rnacentral:rRNA from 1 species
UACGUAGGCAGCGAGCGUUGUUCGGAGUUACUGGGCGUAAAGGGUGUGUAGGCGGUUCUCUAAGUUUGGUGUGAAAUCUCCCGGCUCAACCGGGAGGGUGCGGCGAAAACUGGAGGGCUAGAGUGCGGGAAGGGAGAGUAGAAUUCCUGGUGUAGCGGUGAAAUGCGUAGAUAUCGGUAGGAACACCAGUGGCGAAGGCGGUCUCCUGGAGCAGACUUGACGCUGAGGCGCGAAAGCUGGGGGAGCGAACGGG